rnacentral:rRNA from 1 species
AGGAUUAACGCUGGCGGCGUGCAUGAAACAUGCAAGUCGAGCGCGGUGUGAUGAGGGGUAACCCAAUUCACAUCUAGCGGCGAACGGGUGAGUAACACGUGAGCAACCUACCUUUGAGUUGGGGAUAGCCCUGGGAAACCAGGAUUAAUACCCGAUGUGGUCACAACAGGACAUCCUGAUGUGAGUAAAGGCGUAAGCCGCUCAAUGACGGGCUCGCGGCCUAUUAGCUUGUUGGUGGGGUAACGGCCUACCAAGGCGAUGAUGGGUAGCUGGUCUGAGAGGACGAUCAGCCACACUGGGACUGAGACACGGCCCAGACUCCUACGGGAGGCAGCAGUUAGGAAUUUUCCGCAAUGGGCGAAAGCCUGACGGAGCAACGCCGCGUGAGUGAUGAAGACCUUCGGGUUGUAAAGCUCUGUCGGAGGGAAGAACACAAUGACGGUACCCUACCGAAGAAACGCCCCGGACUAACUACGCGCCAGCAGCCGCGGUAA